CAGCAGUUAGAUCACCUUCCCUGUCUUCAAGUCCCAUGUACACCUUUAUCAGAUACAUCAAAUGAUAUGGGUGUGACAGAAGGAAGUUUUCCUCCAUUGUGCCCUCCACAGUUGUCUCAAGGGUCAUCUAAUGGAAGUUUGACUCAACUCUUAAGAGAUGUUUCAUUUCAUGAUUUAAACAAGUAUUCUCAACAUUGAUUAUGGCAAAUUCGUGAACGCAGAGGUUACAUGGUGAUCGUGUCCGGCAUAGUAGCUUGUUUCCGUUCAUAGGUUUUUUACUAGUGUGCAAUUGACAUUCGCCAAUGUGAAUUGAGCCUCUUUUUUUUUUUUUCAUGUCAAGGUUGUAACCCACCUGUGGAUGUUGGAAUUUGUUUGUCCCUUAUAGAAGUAUGUUUUGAGUUUCCUCUUCUCAAUUCCAAUUUCCCUUAUAUCGAAGAACUGAACAAUCUUCAACUUUGGAACUACAAUAAAGUAAUGUUUUUGAUGCUUAUUUGGUUGUGCAACUGCAUUGAAUCAUUUGUUGCAUGAUAUUUACCCUGUUUUUUGGUAGCAAGAGAAAAGGCAAUUGCCAAUGUAAUCAAGACAAAUAUAUUUGGAAAGAGAAAGGUGCUUCGUGUGCUUGGAUUUCAUCAGCAAGACUAGUUUGGGAUUUUUAUUUCAUGGGAAUUCUGACUGCAAAUACAGUUGAAA